rnacentral:rRNA from 1 species
AGUGAACGCUGGCGGUAGGCCUAACACAUGCAAGUCGAACGGCAGCACAGUAAGAGCUUGCUCUUACGGGUGGCGAGUGGCGGACGGGUGAGGAAUACAUCGGCAUCUACUUUUUCGUGGGGGAUAACGUAGGGAAACUUACGCUAAUACCGCAUACGACCUACGGGUGAAAGCAGGGGAUCUUCGUACCUUGCGCGAUUUCAUGAGCCGAUGUCGGAUUAGCUAGUUGGCGGGGUAAAGGCCCACCAAGGCGACGAUCCGUAGCUGGUCUGAGAGGAUGAAAAGACAAACGGGAACUGAGAAACGGUCCAGACUCCUACGGGAGGCAGCAGUGGGGAAUAUUGGACAAUGGGGGAAAGCCGGAUCCAGCAAUACCGCGUGGGUGAAGAAGGCCUUCGGGUUGUAAAGCCCUUUUGUUGGGAAAGAAAAGCAGCAGGUUAAUAACCCGAUGUUCUGACGGUACCCAAAGAAUAAGCACCGGCUAACUACGUG